rnacentral:rRNA from 1 species
AUUGAACGCUGGCGGAAUGCUUUACACAUGCAAGUCGAACGGCAGCACGGGGCAACCUGGUGGCGAGUGGCGAACGGGUGAGUAAUACAUCGGAACGUGCCCAAUCGUGGGGGAUAACGUAGCGAAAGUUACGCUAAUACCGCAUACGAUCUACGGAUGAAAGCGGGGGAUCGCAAGACCUCGCGCGAAUGGAGCGGCCGAAGUCAGAUUAGGUAGUUGGUGGGGUAAAGGCUCACCAAGCCAACGAUCUGUAGCUGGUCUGAGAGGACGACCAUCCACACUGGAACUGAGACACGGCCCAGACUCAUACGGGAGGCAGCAGUGGGGAAUUUUGGACAAUGGGCGCAAGCCUGAUCCAGCCAUUCCGCGUGCAGGAUGAAGGCCUUCGGGUUGUAAACUGCUUUUGUACGGAACGAAACGGCUCUCUCUAAUACAGGGGGCUAAUGACGGUACCGUAAGAAUAAGCACCGGCUAACUACGUGCCAGCAGCCGCCGUAAAAC